rnacentral:rRNA from 1 species
GAUGAACGCUGGCGGCGUGCCUAAUACAUGCAAGUCGAGCGAAAAGACGAGGAGCUUGCUCCUCUAACGUUAGCGGCGGGCGGGUGGGUAACACGUGGAUCACCUACCUCUAUGACUGGGAUAACAACGGGAGAAAGGAGAUGCUACCAGAGAAUAUGUUGAACCGCAUGGAGCAAUAGUGAAAGGCGCUUUUGCUGUUACUUAUAGAUGGAUCCGCGCCGCAUUAGCUAGUUGGUAAGGUAACGGCUUACCAAGGCAACGAUGCGUAGCCGACCUGAGAGGGUGAUCGGCCACACUGGAACUGAGACACGGUCCAGACUCCUACGGGAGGCAGCAGUGGGGAAUCUUCCGCAAUGGGCGAAAGCCUGACGGAGCAACGCCGCGUGAGUGAUGAAGGUCUUCGGAUCGUAAAACUCUGUUAUUAGGGAAGAACAAAUGUGUAAGUAACUAUGCACGUCUUGACGGUACCUAAUCAGAAAGCCACGGCUAACUACGUG